AAUUCGAUGAUACGACGAAAACCUUACCUGGCUUGAACUGUGCAUGACAGGCGUAGAGAUACCGCUCCUCCCGUUCGGGCAUGUAUAGAGGUGCUGUCAUGGUUGUCGUCAGCUCGUGUCGUGAGAUGUUGGGUUAAGUCCCGCAACGAGCGCAACCCCUACUCUCUGUUGCUAUCAGGUAAUGCUGGGCACUCUGAGGGAACUGCCGGUGACAAACCGGAGGAAGGUGGGGACGACGUCAAAUCAUCACGGCCCUUAUGUCCAGGGCUACACACGUGCUACAAUGGCCGGUACAAAGAGUUGCGAGACCGCGAGGUGGAGCUAAUCUCCAAAGCCGGUCUCAGUUCGGAUCGGAGUCUGCAACUCGACUCCGUGAAGCUGGAUUCGCUAGUAAUCGGAUAUCAGCAAUGAUCCGGUGAAUACGUUCCCGGGCCUU
rnacentral:rRNA from 1 species